rnacentral:rRNA from 1 species
UCCUGUUGCUAACGAGUAAAGUCGAGCACUCUGGAGAGACUGCCGGUGAUAAACCGGAGGAAGGUGGGGAUGACGUCAAGUCCUCAUGGCCUUUAUGCCCCGGGCUACACACGUGCUACAAUGGCUGGUACAAAGGGUCGCAAAACCGCGAGGUGGAGCUAAUCCCAGAAAACCAGUCCC